AUGCUAGAAAAAAGAUUUUCGCUUCUUCAGGGACUCUGUAGACAUAAGCAGUUCUGGCAUGAAGGGACGCACCGAUGUGAGAAAACUGAGCCUGUUUACGUUAAAACAAAACAAAACCAGUAAGGACAAGAUCUCUUCGCUUGCAUUAAUGAUGAAUUCUGUCUCCUCCAGCCCAUAUGCCCUCAAAACCUAUCUUAAAGGCAUAAUACCUUUAGGUAAUCCAGUCUUAAUAUAUAGUCUUUCACUAAAUUUAGGGUUGUUCUUGAUCUAACUAUUCAAAUAAUGUAUCUGCUUUAAAGUAUGUUUUUAACCUGUCCAGUGCCAAAUACCAAACAGUACUGGCUCAAUUCAACAACAAAAAUUUGAAACACCCCCCCCCUUUUUCUAAUUUGAAUUUUAGGAAGACUAUGAAGACACUCAGCAGGGUCUCAUAAAUUGGGUUUGAGUUACAAAUGAAGUUGUUUUUAACAUUUAAGCUGUAGUUAGUAUAACAAGCUACUUAAAAGAGAAACAUUGAAGGUCUCAGACCGCCCACUGGAAGCCAGAGCUCAGAGCCCAUCAGCAUAUACUGUUUAUUCAUUUGCGUGCUUGGUUUUAUGUAACUCAAUAGCUCUAUGGUUGUUUGUAAGAUAAGCUUGCUAAUAGCUUGGCUGUGGAUAGCAAUAUGAUUAUAAAAUGACAAAUAUAUACACAGGCAGCCUUUCCAAAGCAGACUGAAGUCUACUUAGGGCAGUGACUGCUCAGCGUAAUUGAAGUUUGAGAACAGAACAGCAAGGGCUCCGUCUGUUUAUAUGGAAUAGUUUAUAAACUACUCAGAAUGUGACGGUUGAAUUUUGCUUGGCUCAUUUGGUUUUUGUACUUUUCAUAAGCACAGAGAAAAACUAUUAGAAAAGUAAUACAGGACAUAGCAGGAUUAAAAACCAAGAGAGUAUUUUCUCAGAAAAUUUGUUAUUAUAAUAAUAUAAAUUCCAAGUCUGCACUUCUAUGUUUGCCUGAAAAUCAAGAUACACAGAAAUAAAGAUUAAGGAUUUAUGUAGUUAAAUAGUAAAUUAUCCGUUUACUAUGCUUAAAGAGAAAAGAGUAAGGAUCCUGCAAUCUAAGGAGACAGAAGUAACAAUGGAUCACUAGGGAAUUUGUUUUCAAUGUAUUGUUACUUUAUAUGUCUUUCCUUAUGGAGUCAAUUGAGAGUGCUAAGUGCUAACAGAUAAAAUGCUACUUAGCAUUUCAUGUGACCUUGACAAGAAAAGAGCAUGUUCAGGAUUUGUAUCAAUGGCAGAUAUUUUAAUGGGCUACAAUUUAUAAAUUACUGAUAUAUUCCAGAUACCUCUAAUCUGUUUUUACUUCACUGAAAAUUAAAUUCCCGUGGCGUGCUGACAAGGACCCACAAGUGGAUUACCUGUACUGUGGUCCUUGGGCACUGAGAAGGUUCUGCCCUUGAACACACCUCCCUGGGGCAGAGAGCAAAAGGCCCAUCCAAGGUUUGCCUCUCAGGGCUAUGCAGACAAAGACCUGAGAUAAAGGGCACUUUGAAAGCUGCCUUGAGGAGAGAGACUGUUUGGACAGUCGGGGGACUCUGAACGAAAAUGGCUCCUGACACUUUCUCUAGGUCCUACUUUAGCUGAUUUUCUGAACAUACAACAAUUUUAUUUUGGACUAGAGGCCAGUUUUGAACCCUGGUUUUGUCAGAUUUGUGGGUUUAGUGAUUCUGUCCUUAUAGAUUGUUGUGCUCAUCAUAAAAUGACCGAAAAACACUAUCCAUAAUUCCCAAGAAUAAGAAACAUGAGCAGUUGGUUGUACUUAUGUAGGCAAACCGUCCUGAAAGGUCAGUGAUUGUGUGGGUCCUUUCCUGCACUGAACGGUGCGCUUAAUACCUCAUUCUCAUGAACAGAAAGCUCAUGGCAACAUUCAAAAAAUGAUCUGUGUCCUUAGAUUAGAUUGUACGCCCACCGGGCAGAUACUGUGUCUAAUGUUUUGUGUGGCACCUAUCACAUUGUUAGAGUUCAAUAAACGUUCAACAACAA
rnacentral:lncRNA from 1 species